CCAAAGAGCAGAGAAGCGUCAGUGUCUGCCUUUUCUUGACGUUUGCACAGAACUGUGGUUUAGAUCUCAAUCUUUAGCUGAAGGCCUAUGUGUCCAAGGCUUGUGUUCCAGGGUGGAGCUCCUGGGAGCUGGUGGGACCCUUUAAGGGGAGGUCAGAAGGAGUCCUGCCUGCCAAGUGUUCCCACCAUUAUGUGCUCUCCUGGUAGGAGUAGCUGAUGGUUCCUGGGAGUCUCUGCCCUGGGAAGAGCUGCUGAUGGCGAGCAGGAGCCUCUGAGGCUGAGAACCAGGACAUCUAUUGUCUUUAUGCCUUAUCUUAGGAGUUUGCUUCAAUGGUGGACCAUUAAGAGGGAAAAACCUUAAAAAAGGAAAAGAUUUAAUUUGUAUUUCUGUGUAUCUCUAUGUGUGUGUGCCUGCGGAAGCCCGGGGGAUCUUCAGAUGCCCUGUAGCUGGGGUUACAGGAGACGGUAAACUGCCCAGCAGAGGAGCUGGGACCUGAGCUCAGGUUGUCCGGAAGAGCUGCAAGCGUGCGUCACCACUGAGCAGAGGGGAUGAGCGAACCGGCUGGGAAGACCACAUUUCAGAUGUUCUGAAAGGCAUGAGUGCUUCAAGAAGG
rnacentral:lncRNA from 1 species